rnacentral:rRNA from 1 species
AACAGGAUUAGAUACCCUGGUAGUCCACGCCCUAAACGAUGAUAACUAGCCGUUGGUCCCUCGGGGCUAGUGGCGAAGCUAACGCGCUAAGUUAUCCGCCUGGGGAGUACGGCCGCAAGGUUAAAACUCAAAUGAAUUGACGGGGGCCCGCACAAGCGGUGGAGCAUGUGGUUUAAUUCGAUGCAACGCGAAGAACCUUACCAUCCUUUGACAUCCUCAGAAUCCUGUAGAGAUACGGGAGUGCCGAAAGGAACUGAGUGACAGGUGCUGCAUGGCUGUCGUCAGCUCGUGUCGUGAGAUGUUGGGUUAAGUCCCGCAACGAGCGCAACCCUUAUCCUUAGUUGCCAGCAUUAAGUUGGGGACUCUAGGGAGACUGCCGGUGAUAAGCCGGAGGAAGGUAGGGACGACGUCAAGUCAUCAUGGCCGGGGGGGGAUGGGCUACACACGUGCUACAAUGGCCGGUACAGAGGGCGGCGAAGGGGUGACCUGGAGCAAAUCCUUUAAAGCCGGUCGUAGUCCGGAUUGCAGUCUGCAACUCGACUGCAUGAAGUCGGAAUCGCUAGUAAUCGCAGAUCAGAAUGCUGCGGUGAAUACGUUCCCGGGCCUUGUACACACCGCCCGUCACACCAUGGGAGUGGAUUGCACCAGAGGUGGCUAGGCUAACUACGGAGGCCGGUCACCAUCGGUGUGCUUCAUGACUGGGGUGAAGUCGUAACAAAGUAAACC